GUGUUCUGAGUGAGCUGCCAGAAAUAAUGGCGGUUGUUUUAGACGGCUGUCAGCCCCUUCUCUUGGGUCACAGGGCGGGUGGGGUGGCCGGCUGUGCAGCUCGGCUGUGUGCCACCAGCCCUGUGGCAGGCUUCUCUGGCUGCCGAUGCUGGAUGGACUGGAGUGUGGGGCAGGGGACACAGGCCGGAAAAGCUGGGGCAGCCCAGAGUCCCCAGUGUGCAGGUCUUGCUCUCCCCAGGGGGAGGGGCAGCCUACAGACCUCUCCUCCCUCAAGGCCAGGCUCGCCCGUGGGGACAGGGACCAGUCAUCUCCACCUCUGACCCCACCCGACGCCGGUAGGCACCUUCAGUGACCCCUGACUUGUGUCCCUCCAGCUGCGGAGCCGCGACGGCUCUGAGUACCUGAUCCAGCACGACUCGGAGGGCGUCAUCAGCGCCUGGCACCAGGCCAUCGGGCAGGGCAUCGAGGAGCCGCCCGCAGAUCCGGCCCUGGGGGAGGACGUCGAGGCCAGCAGCGCUGACUUCAGGUCCAGCGAGAGGGAGGACGGCACAGCCGCGCCCGCCCCGAGCCCCGGGACCCCCGAGAGCGACCUGAGCCGGGUGCGGCAGAAGCUGCGUAGGUUCCUGCAGAGGCGGCCGACGCUGCAGUCGCUGCGCGAGCGGGGCUACAUCAAGGGUCUUCGGCUGUGCGCUGGCCACAUUGUGCGCGCGUGAGAAGAGCUCCGUGCCACGCUUCGUGCAGCAGUGCGUGCACGCCGUCGAGGCCCGGGGGCUGGACACGGACGGGCUGUACCGCAUCAGCGGGAACCUGGCCACCAUCCAGAAGCUCCGCUACCACGUGGACCACGAUGAGCGCCUGGACCUGGAUGACGGCCGCUGGACUGACGUCCACGUGCUCACCGGCGCGCUCAAGCUCUUCCUGCGCGAGCUGCCUGAGCCGCUCUUCCCCUUCUCGCACUUCAGCCAGUUCCUCGCAGCCAUCAAGCUGCAGGACCCAGCCCGGCGCCGCUGCGUGCGGGACCUGGUGCGCUCGCUGCCCACUCCGAACCAUGACACUCUGCAGCUGCUGUUCCAGCACCUGCGCCGGGUGGUGGAACAGGGGGAGCAGAACCGCAUGUCAGUGCAGAGUGUGGCCAUCGUGUUCGGGCCCACUCUGCUGCGGCCCGAGACAGAGGAGGGCAGCAUGCCCAUGACCAUGGUGUUCCAGAACCAGGUGGUGGAGCUCAUCCUGCAGCAGUGCGCAGACAUCUUCCCGCCACCCUGAUGGCUGCCACCCACCCUUGUUGCCGCGGGUACGGCGACCUGAAGUGGGGCUUUCUCUGGGGCGUCCUCGGUGGGUGCCAGGGUAGGGGGAGCUUUUGUCUGGAGGGGGAUUCGGUGAGGGUGUUUCCUGGCUCCUUCAGGGAGGCGCCUGGCCAGAGCCCUGUGCAGGUAACCAGGAAGAGCCUGACAGGACCAUGUGACCUCCAGUCUAAGCCUCCCUGGCCCAGGAUGAAGAACUGGCUUCAUCUGCCUUCCUGUCUGUGGAUCCACAUCGGGAUCCAGUCAGUCCACUGUGUCCUGGGCAAGGUUUUUUCACACCCAUGAGCUGCGAGCCCUGGGCCUGCUAUAGAGGAGCUCUGUCAAUACAGAGCCCUGAUGCAGGAAGGAAACCAGCUCUCAAGGCCUCCCUCACCAGGGUGCGGGCUCCAGGGAGGGGACCUGGCCUCUGCCCCCCUUUCCAGCGUGGGCCAGAGAGCAGCCUGCCCCCUGUUCUGGGGGAGGAGCACGUGGCAGGGCCCUCACGCCCCUCUGCCAAGCUGGCCACUGGGGCCUACCUUGCCACAGCGCUGGGAGGGGCCUGGGGGGGACAGCCUCCGGAAAGGAGGGGUGCACCUGCCUAUCCUCAUGCACAAACCGCGGAGGCUGUGGAUCUCAGGCCCCGCCUCCCCCUUCAUGGCUCAGUGAACAAUAGUAGCUCAUUGCAUUGAGCAUCCACACCAGGCCACGCAUCCUGCCCCAGUUACCUUUGUGUCCCUUGCAGUCGGUAUUUAUUGUGUUCUUGUGUGCCAGGCACAUGCUGUCUGCCCCAUGGAGCUGGGGUCCAGGCAAGAGAUGGAGACCUCCUACCAUGCAUCUAAAUAUUUAAAAGAUGCAAAUCAAGCCAAGAACUGUGAAAUAAAAUAUGCUCUAUUCUCCUACUUUA
ensembl:lncRNA